GACAGAAGAGAGUGAGCAUA
rnacentral:miRNA from 1 species